rnacentral:rRNA from 1 species
GCAAGUCGAGCGGACAGAAGGGAGCUUGCUCCCGGAUGUUAGCGGCGGACGGGUGAGUAACACGUGGGUAACCUGCCUGUAAGACUGGGAUAACUCCGGGAAACCGGAGCUAAUACCGGAUAGUUCCUUGAACCGCAUGGUUCAAGGAUGAAAGACGGUUUCGGCUGUCACUUACAGAUGGACCCGCGGCGCAUUAGCUAGUUGGUGGGGUAAUGGCUCACCAAGGCAACGAUGCGUAGCCGACCUGAGAGGGUGAUCGGCCACACUGGGACUGAGACACGGCCCAGACUCCUACGGGAGGCAGCAGUAGGGAAUCUUCCGCAAUGGACGAAAGUCUGACGGAGCAACGCCGCGUGAGUGAUGAAGGUUUUCGGAUCGUAAAGCUCUGUUGUUAGGGAAGAACAAGUGCGAGAGUAACUGCUCGCACCUUGACGGUACCUAACCAGAAAGCCACGGCUAACUACGUGCCAGCAGCCGCGGUAAUACGUAGGUGGCAAGCGUUGUCCGGAAUUAUUGGGCGUAAAGGGCUCGCAGGCGGUUUCUUAAGUCUGAUGUGAAAGCCCCCGGCUCAACCGGGGAGGGUCAUUGGAAACUGGGAAACUUGAGUGCAGAAGAGGAGAGUGGAAUUCCACGUGUAGCGGUGAAAUGCGUAGAGAUGUGGAGGAACACCAGUGGCGAAGGCGACUCUCUGGUCUGUAACUGACGCUGAGGAGCGAAAGCGUGGGGAGCGAACAGGAUUAGAUACCCUGGUAGUCCACGCCGUAAACGAUGAGUGCUAAGUGUUAAGGGGGUUUCCGCCCCUUAGUGCUGCAGCUAACGCAUUAAGCACUCCGCCUGGGGGAGUACGGUCGCAAGACUGAAACUCAAAGGAAUUGACAGGGGCCCGCACAAGCGGUGGAGCAUGGUGGUUUAAUUCGAAGCAACGCGAAGAACCUUA